GUCUACAGCCAUGCCACCCUAAACAAGCCCGAUCCCAUCUGAUCUCAGAAGCUAAGUAGGGUCAGGCCUGGUUGGUACUUGGAUGAGAGACUACCUAGGAACACCAAGUGCUGUAGGCA
ensembl:rRNA 5S_rRNA 5S ribosomal RNA